UGCAGCUGCACCUGUGCUUUUGCAUCAUCCCAUAAUUAAUGCUGAGAUUAAUAUAUGUUUCUAAUCUCAGAGAAAAUGGUCUCUCCCUGUUUAGUUUUGGUUCCUCCCAAGGUUUCUUAAUCAUCCAACCAAACCAAAUCUUUUUAGACAUUAUUUUCUGCAAUGCCGCUUUGGAUCAGCAUGUAUUGUGAAAGCAUGCAAUUACCACUUACACCUUACAUUUUAAUCUUUCCCAGUAAAACACCAUCGUUCCUAACAUAAGCUUGCAAGUUGCAUGACACUUUGACACACUAAUGUAAGCUGCAAGUCAUCUAGCGUGACAACGCAAAAGAUGAAGUCUGAUUUGGAUUGUCUUAUUUGGAUAAUUCAUAAUUACUAAAUGAGCCUUAAAUAAGGUUGUCUGAACUAAUUUUCUUGUCUAAAACCAUUAUGAGUUUCUAGAAACUACUUUUUAAACGUCAGCGCCUUGCCCAAAAAGCACUUUUGCACAGAAGCAUUCUCCCCGCCAACAGAUCCACCCAAAACAAAACAGCAAAGAUUUAAAGCUUUAAAGAGUGAUUUCUGACCUCUACCAUGCCAAGCACAUCAGCUUCAGAAUCACUCACAGCUGGAAAUUAUUUCAAAAAUACAAGCUAAAAUGACCUGAAUGGCACAUUACAGCAAAUAUGGGCUGAUUUUUUUUUUUUUUUAAUUAAGGAAUUUCCCAGCAUGCCCAGGAUGUUUGGUUUGGGUGGAUGAAGACACCGGGAGGAACCAAAAUUCAGCAGGGAGAGCCCAUCCUCCUCUGACAAGAGUUAAGCAAAAAAAUUAAUCUCAGAAUUAAUUGUAGGAUGAAGCAAGAGCACAGGUGCAGCUGCAGGUGGAGGCGACUCUAACAUAUAUAAGUCUGAUGGGUCACAUACAGAAGACAGUGAAGACUGAGGAACAUUUGAAGACUCUCAUUCAUCUGUAUCUCCAACAACAAAAACGUCUAAUAUCAGUAAUGAAGAGUGUAAAUGCAGUGAAGAUGUUGGCGGUGUUUGCUCUGGUUUUUCUGGUGUCCAGUGUGACUGAGGGACUGAUUAUCAGUAAAUGUGAGCUGAAGGAGAAGCUGGAGGCGACUCAGAUUCAGGUGAUUCGGGCCAUGGGAGACAAAAUGACCGUGAACGAUCUCAACGCUAGACUGGUCUGCUUGGCCGGCGCUACAGGCUUCAACACCAGCUUUGUCAAAAACAUCCCUGCCAAACCUAAAGAGCCCUUAAAUAGCAACUCCAUAAAACCGAACACGACGCGGCGUCCCGUCUGGCACCUGUACGGUGUGUUUCAGCUCAGUGAUCAGCUGGCCUGUGAUUCUGGCAUGAACCCAUCUCUCAAUGUCUGCAACACGAGCUGCACUGGUGAGUUUGAGAAGAAAAAAACUGCCACAGUAAUCAUCAACACUGCAUCCUAUGUUUUCUGAAUUUCUGCAGCAUGUUCCUAUUGCUUUCAAAUGAAGAGUUUGUGCUUGUGUUCUCUUUUCUCAAAAGCUUUUACUGACGAUGACGUCACAGAUGACAUCGCCUGCCUGAAUACCAUUAUUAGCAGCAUGUAAGUACACAGACUAUGGACACUGCAUUGCAUACUGAAUGAUCUAGACGUAAUUUCAUAGUUAAAAGUUUAAUGUACAUUUAUAACACUAUACUUUGGGUUUUAUUACCUUUGCAUUAAAUUACAGAAAACUAG
ensembl:lncRNA